rnacentral:rRNA from 1 species
CCUACGGGGGGCAGCAGUGGGGAAUAUUGCACAAUGGGGAAAACCCUGAUCCAGAACCGCCCCGUGAGCGAGGAGGGCCUCGGGGUCGUAAAGCCUGGCCUAAAGGGAGGAGGCUUGACGGAACUUUAGGAGAAAGCCCCGCCAACCUACGUGCAGGAGGCGGGGGUAUACCGUAGGGGGCGGGCGUUAUCCGGAAUCACUGGGCGAAAAGGGUGCGUAGGCGGCCGUUUAGGCCGGGGGUGAAAGGCUACGGCUCAACCGUAGUAAGCCCUUGGAACUGAUUGGCUUGAGUGCAGGAGAGGAGAGUGGAAUGCCUAGUGUAGCGGUGAAAUGCGUAGAUAUUAGGAGGAACACCAGUGGCGAAGGCGACUCUCUGGACUGUAACUGACGCUGAGGCACGAAAGCGUGGGGAGCAAACAGGAUUAGAUACCCUUGUAGUC